UACGUAGGGCGCAAGCGUUGUCCGGAAUUAUUGGGCGUAAAGAGCUCGUAGGCGGUUUGUCGCGUCUGCUGUGAAAACCUAAGGCUCAACCUUGGGCUUGCAGUGGGUACGGGCAGACUAGAGUGUGGUAGGGGAGACUGGAAUUCCUGGUGUAGCGGUGGAAUGCGCAGAUAUCAGGAGGAACACCGAUGGCGAAGGCAGGUCUCUGGGCCAUUACUGACACUGAGAAGCGAAAGCAUGGGGAGCGAACAGG
rnacentral:rRNA from 1 species